rnacentral:rRNA from 1 species
GUGGGGGAUAUUGCACAAUGGGGGAAACCCUGAUGCAGCGACGCCGCGUGAGGGAAGACGGCCUUCGGGUUGUAAACCUCUGUCGCAGGGGACGAAGGAAGUGACGGUACCCUGUGAGGAAGCCACGGCUAACUACGUGCCAGCAGCCGCGGUAAUACGUAGGUGGCGAGCGUUGUCCGGAAUUACUGGGUGUAAAGGGAGCGUAGGCGGGAGUGCAAGUUGAAUGUAUAAACUAUCGGCUCAACUGAUAGAAGCGUUCAAAACUGCACUUCUUGAGUGAAGUAGAGGCAGGCGGAAUUCCUAGUGUAGCGGUGAAAUGCGUAGAUAUUAGGAGGAACACCAGUGGCGAAGGCGGCCUGCUGGGCUUUAACUGACGCUGAGGCUCGAAAGCGUGGGUAGCAAACAGG